CAGCGGAGCAUGCGGCUUAAUUCGACGCAACGCGAAGAACCUUACCAAGGCUUGACAUAUAGGGAAAAGUGGCAGAGAUGUCAUGUCCGCAAGGGCUCUAUACAGGUGGUGCAUGGUUGUCGUCAGCUCGUGUCGUGAGAUGUUGGGUUAAGUCCCGCAACGAGCGCAACCCUCGUUCUGUGUUGCCAGCAUUUAGUUGGGGACUCACAGGAGACUGCCGGGGUUAACUCGGAGGAAGGUGGGGAUGACGUCAAAUCAUCAUGCCCCUUAUGUCUUGGGCUGCACGCAUGCUACAAUGGCUGGUACAAAGGGCUGCAAUACCGCAAGGUGGAGCGAAUCCCAAAAAGCCAGUCUCAGUUCGGAUUGGGGUCUGCAACUCGACCCCAUGAAGUCGGAGUUGCUAGUAAUCGUAGAUCAGCAACGCUACGGUGAAUACGUUCCCGGGGCUUGUACACACCGCCCGUCACGUCACGAAAGUCGGUAACACCCAAAGUCAGUGGCCCAACCGCAAGGGGGGAGCUGCCUAAGGUGGGAUCGGUGAUUGGGACGAAGUCGUAACAAGGUAGGCGUACCGGAAGGUGCGGCUGGAUCACCUCCUUUCUAAGGAG
rnacentral:rRNA from 1 species